rnacentral:rRNA from 1 species
ACGAACGCUGGCGGCGUGCUUAACACAUGCAAGUCGAACGGAAAGGCCCUGCUUUUGUGGGGUGCUCGAGUGGCGAACGGGUGAGUAACACGUGAGUAACCUGCCCUUGACUUUGGGAUAACUUCAGGAAACUGGGGCUAAUACCGGAUAGGAGCUCCUGCUGCAUGGUGGGGGUUGGAAAGUUUCGGCGGUUGGGGAUGGACUCGCGGCUUAUCAGCUUGUUGGUGGGGUAGUGGCUUACCAAGGCUUUGACGGGUAGCCGGCCUGAGAGGGUGACCGGCCACAUUGGGACUGAGAUACGGCCCAGACUCUUACCGGAGGCAGCAGUGGGGAAUAUUGCACAAUGGGCGGAAGCCUGAUGCAGCAACGCCGCGUGCGGGAUGACGGCCUUCGGGUUGUAAACCGCUUUCGCCUGUGACGAAGCGUGAGUGACGGUAAUGGGUAAAGAAGCACCGGCUAACUACGUG